rnacentral:misc_RNA from 1 species
GAUGAAGAACGCAGCGAAAUGCGAUACGUAGUGUGAAUUGCAGAAUUCAGUGAAUCAUCGAAUCUUUGAACGCACAUUGCACCUCUCGGUAUUCCGGGAGGUAUGCCUGUUCGAGCGUCAUUUCAACCCUCAAGCACAGCUUGGUGUUGGGACUCGCGUUAAUUCGCGUUCCUCAAAUUGAUUGGCGGUCACGUCGAGCUUCCAUAGCGUAGUAGUAAAACCCUCGUUACUGGUAAUCGUCGCGGCCACGCCGUUAAACCCCAACUUCUGAAUGUUGACCUCGGAUCAGGUAGGAAUACCCGCUGAACUUAAGCAUAUCAAUAAGCGGAGGA